rnacentral:rRNA from 1 species
CCUACGGGAGGCAGCAGUGGGGAAUAUUGCACAAUGGGGGAAACCCUGAUGCAGCGACGCCGCGUGAGUGAAGAAGUAAUUAGUUAUGUAAAGCUCUAUCAGCAGGGAAGAAAAUGACGGUACCUGAGUAAGAAGCCCCGGCUAACUACGUGCCAGCAGCCGCGGUCAUACGGAGGGGGCAAGCGUUAUCCGGAUUUACUGGGUGUAAAGGGAGUGUAGACGGGAGUGCAAGUCUGGAGUGAAAGGCGGGGGCUCAACCCCCGGACUGCUCUGGAAACUGUACGGCUGGAGUGCAGGAGAGGUAAGUGGAAUGCGUAGUGUAGCGGUGAAAUGCGUAGAUAUUAGGAAGAACACCGGUGGCGAAGGCGGCUUACUGGACUGUAACUGACGUUGAGGCUCGAAAGCGUGGGGAGCAAACAGGAUUAGAUACCCGAGUAGUC